GAAUUAUCUUAUCAGAGUCGAUCCCCCGCCCCUGUCGAAUAUUCUACGAAUCCCGUGCGUGUUCCAGUUCAUCCAUCCCUGCGCCUAGCCGCAAGCCCCCAGCGCGUCCCCUGGGAUAAUCGCCACGGUCUCCUAACUGGUUUCCCUGCUUGGUCUUGCCCCCUGCUAUCCUCUGGACGCGGUAGCCCGUGUGAUGGAAUUGCAGCAUGCUCCUCUUCAGAACACAGCAAAGAUCUUUACUGAUGACAGUAUGGGUAAGGGUGCCGUGUCAGGCACUCUGACUGGGCGGGUCCUGCACUACAUAGAGACUGCCUAAUUCCUACCUGUGCCCUUCGCUCCUUCCCACAGCCUGGCUCAAGGAUGCUUCCUCCUAGCUCUCCUCACCCUCCCUGAAGGCCUCAACCUCACAGCUUUUGCCUAUCUGGCCAGUCCCCUCCUGCGAUGCUACAGUCCAGAACCUUACACAACACAUCUCUGGGACUACUGGUGCUGUAACCUCCCUGCCUCCUGGUCACCCUCCUUCCAGUCUACAAGGCACCCUGCGACAUAACUGUAUUCUAAGAAAGCCUCCUUCAUUUUGUCUGUCAUCUGCCUUCUUCAGAAUCCACAGGCUCCCUAUGGCCAAGCCAAAAGCAUGGCUUUCUAAACUAAGAGGGGAUUUGAGAAAUGAUUCAGCUGGACUCCCUUGUUUCACAGAUGAAGAAUCUGACGCUCAGAAAAGAUGCGUGACUUGCCCAGGGCGGAGCCAAAACUGUAGUGAGGCCUCUACGUGAUGAGAACUUACUAUCCAUCCUAACUCUCCUGCACAUCACAAUACAUGCAGAGACUGCAUAUACAUGCUUAACUUCUCUGGCCUUUGGGUUCCUCAUCUGUAACAUGGGAAUAAUAAUCUUUAAUUUGGGGAAAAUGUUGUGAGGAUAGAAUGAAACUGUCGUUUAUCAAUUGCUAAAGGCUGUAGAGAACAUUGACUCCUGAGAACUUGACACAGAUUAUUUACUCAAUCUUCACAGCAACCACAUGAGAGUAGUAGUAUUCACCCCAUAGUAGAGACAAGGAACUGAGGCAUAGAGGUCACCUGGCUCACCCCUGUCCUGACAGCUCCUCUUUUGCCCUGGCUUCCCCCAUCCACCCCUUCACACACACACACUACACAACCAAGUGCCUCAUGUAGUUUUCUUCCUCUCUGGAUCACCAGAGUCUGUCGCUGUCACCUGCUACACCCACUUCUCCUAGGGAAGUUUACAUGGUCUGCCCUCUGGCCAUAGGUGAUUGCACCAGGGCUGGGCAUUGAACCAAGGGAAAGCAAGAAAUAAACUGGCUGAGCGAUGCAAGUCCUUUCUCAUGAGCAUUUGAAUUAAGGAGUUAUGAAAACCGAGUUACUUAGGUGGGGGCGGGCAAUGGAGACUAGCUGGAAGCUACCCUGGGCCAGGGUGAGCCAGGAGAGGAGAGUGGAGCAGAGGCCCAGGGAAAGGAGAGACCAGAGACCCCCAUUGUUUACCCCAGGUGUGCUGGGAACGUGUCCAUGCACACACACCCUCUGGCCUCGCCCACUCUAACAGAGUCCCCAACAUACAACCAGCCCAGCGUCUUCUCAGAUCCCAUGAGAUCUGACUGUAUUUUCCACUGCUGAGUUCUCUGAGAUUCCCAUCUGUCUUCCCAGGAAAUCCUCUUUUCGCUUCCACUGGUUUGAGCAUGUUUGUCCUCAUAGCCUGUGAGCCCUGGCUACGACAUCAGCUCAAGUAAUUCGACCAGCUCAGGGCCUGACUCCUCUGGGAAGCCUUCUGCCUACCUCUCUGUGUUCGUCUCAUCUUCCCCAGAGAGAUCCCAAACCCUACCACAGUGGCGGUCACUUCCCUUUCCUUCUCAACAUCCAGUACGUACUUGUGGAUUGGCCACAUCUUCUAACUUUGCAGUGCCCGUUUCCAAUUUUGCCCUUUGAAAUUGUACUGUCCUUAUGGUUACCACUUAAUGUUCUAGCAAAUCCAUGUAUCCAUCCAUCAUCUAUUUAUUCUUGGAACAUGUAUUUAGUGUCUGUGUCAGGCAGUGGGCUAGGCCCUGGGAAUGAUGAGGAUAAAGUUCUUAGUUCUUGGCCCAUAGGAGUUCACAGUCCAGGAGGGAAAUCCAGCUUCCCCUUGCCAAACUGGUCACACCAACAUAGCCUUUGCUUUCAUGAUCCCAGCUACACAUAAACACACAGUCCAGACAUGACUGUUAGCCCUGUCACGUUGUCACACACACCCAAAAACAGGCUCUAUCUUGUUUUCUCCUCCCCAUUCCCCUUCUUCACACUGAGUGCCACCUCUGUUUCCUGCCUGGUCUCUCACUGCUCUCAGCUCUGGAAGAUGCCCUGAAGUCCUCGCUCCACCCUCUACUCUCCCUCCUUUUUGAUCUUCAUUCUGUGGUAUGGGAAUUGACACUAUAGUCUAAAUGUGUGUGUGCGUGUGCAUGCAUGUGUGUGUGUGUGCUUGCGCGGGCCUUUAUGCUAUUUUAAGACCCCAGCACUUUGCAAAAACCUGAUGGAGAAUCCUGCCAAAGCCCAAGGGUGGGGGAGGGGAGGCUGGGCAAUCUGAGCCUGGGGCAGACUGGGCGUCUGGGGAGCCAGGUUAGCAGCUGCCAGCUGCAAAGCCUGGGCUCAAACCGCCGCUGUCGACUGCUGGUUUCCUGGCCUGCGCCAGCCCAGCCUGACCCGGUCUGUCCACCUCCUCUUUGCCAUGCCCAAGUCCUCAUUCCUCUCCAUGGUUUGCUUAGGAGUUUGCACACCAGGCAUCAUGUAAAAUUGUUGUGUUUCUGGAAACACAUACACACACAGAGAAGCCUUGAAAUUCUUCUUGGAACAGGUCCAGGGAUUUAUUUAUGAAAUUCCCAGGGGGUGAGAGAGACAGAAGUCUGGACUUUGCAGACUGAGUGGUGUGCCGUCAUCUUAUCAACAUAACCACCAGCUCUAGUGUGCACUUACUAAAUGCCCACUGCGUGCCCGGGCCAGGUGGAGGGGGCUUGUGGGGAGCACAGGUGCUCAGUACUGCAGGCAGCAGGGAUGUCUCCUCUCCCCAGAGUAAAAAAUCCAGACAUGGUAUUGACAUAUUUUGGGCAUGGUCCCCAACUCUGACCUCCCUGCUCUCUCUCCCAGCAGCCCCAUCUCCUCACUUCCUUCCUCUCCUUCUCUCUGAGUCUGCAGCCUCUCUCUCUUACCCACCCCACGUUGGAGUCCAUGCUGUCCUGUGGAUGGAUGUGUGGGUCUUCCAAAGAAGGGUUUCAAGGGUAACAUCUGCACCAGGGAGAAACUGUAGUGUGCUCAGUAUGCUACUCCAAUUCUUUGCAGUCUGGCAUGGAGAAGAAAUGGGGUUUAUGUGCAGGCGUGGCAGGGUCUGCAGAGGCUGGAGAAAGCUGGGGUGUCCAAGCCUCUUAAGAUAAUUUCCAUUUCCUCCCCCAAGGACUUUAGGUGGAUGCUUCACUGGAAACUAGAUGGUCCCCAGUCUGGUCAGACUGAUGGUGUUGGGGAUAGAACCUUUGCUCUGCUUCCAGGAAUCAAAUGUGUAGAGCUUUCUGCAGCAAGACAAGUCAACAGGUCUCUUCCCCUUAUCUAACCCACCAUCUCCAGGAGAACCUGGCAGAACCUGAGGCUUCUGUUGCCUCUCUUUAAUUCAGUAGGGGUGGGAAGGGGUGGGUCUGAAUGUGUCUUUAGUUUCCCAUGUACAUCCUGCCUUUGAGGGGAAGCCAUAUGAUCAAUAUCUGUGGAAUGACUGAUCUUAUGCAAAUGUGAUUUUAGAGGUAAGCUCCCAGUGGAAAAUAUGGACUAGACUAGUCUAUCAGAGAUAAGAUAGAAAGACAUAGACAGAGGGCCACUGCACUUACCACAGGA